CGGUAUAUGUAUUGAAACAAGUGUUAUGGGCCCCGCAAUUGCUGGUGAAACGGUAGCGAUCGAAAAUUUUUUAACGCACUGACAUUCGUACUUUAAUUGUCGUACGGCGCGGACCACCGAGUCAGUGGCGACACGCAACGGGACAGAAGAUAUGCCGGCUAAACCUGCAGCAGAUAUCCUGGAACGCGAAGGCCGAUUCAGUGAUGUGUCUACCUGUAGUGCAAACGUAAGUAUUAAAACUGCUAACGAUCGCCACGUUAUUAUAGCGAAUUAUAUUACUUAAUUAACGAUAUACCUACAACACUGUAAUCGAGUACGUAAUAUUUUUUUUUCGACGACCUGAUCCCUUGAGCCAAGAGGACAAGUUUGUCUAUAUUGCAAUUACAAUCAAUUUGUUCGUUCGGCUCGAGUCAUGAGGAUCGUCAAUUAUACGACUUGCAUAAUAACACACUAAUAAUACACUCAAACUUUGUUAUUAUUAUUAUUUUUUUUUUUUUUUUUAAUAUUUAAAUAUAUAUGUAUACAUAUAUAUAUAUAUGUAUUAUUAUUAUAAUUGUUAUCGCCGCCGUUUAUACGUUUUACGGACUUUUUGUUUUUGUUUUCAUUUUAACGAAUUUUAUACUGUUGACAAUUUUUCAAAUACUUCCGUGUAUUUUUAUUAUUUUUAUAUUAUUAUAUAAUACUAUACGUGUAUUUUACUGAUCCUAUUAUUUGUGUUUAACUUUGUAAUUUGGUAUUUGUUAAUUUUAUAGUAGUAUUGAA
rnacentral:lncRNA from 1 species